ACCCUGAAAUGAAUUAUUUGUCUUCAUUUUUCUUCCUAUUUAAAACAUUAUACUAGCAGUCAAAGAAAGAAUGUAUAUGAAAAAAGAAAGAACCAGAUUCCUUUUGCUUUAAUUUAGAUAUUGGCAGGCAAAUAUGAUAGUUUUGAAAUAUUUAUAAAUAUAAGAUACGAAUUUCCUUCAGGAAUCUAAAAAUCCUGGUUAUUUUUACAUACUAAGAAGACUUAUGACUCAAUAAACCGCAUGCUGACACGUAACUAAAUAAGUAAAUAACUAGAGUGAAGGCCAACUGCUGUUUAACAGCUUCCCCUGUUAGGUAUACACUUUCAAACAAGCAUGAAAUGUAGGUCUCUGGACAUCACUUAAAAGAACCACAAAUAAACAGUGUGUGAUCCCAUGCUCCCAUUCCUCCUGGACAGCCAGUGAGCAUGGCUUGGAGUUGGGGGAGUUGCUGUUCUUCUGCCCAGGGUGCUCUAAACACAAACAUGUCUGUCCACAGGCUCAGGGUCAUGCUGCUGUUGACAGAUACAGGGAGCUCAAGAAAGUGAGGAGGCCAGAAGUCUGUGGCCCAGGGACCAUUGCCUUACCUAACCUUUUAUUUAGCAAGGAAUCAUUCUCCAGACUCUUAUACUUCAACUUCAACAGUGUGACCAAGUUACCAUAGGAGACUGGAGUCAAAUUGGCCAAUUGUUGGGAAUAGCUCUUUUUUUUCUACCUAUAAGAUGUAAGUUAAGCUCUGGUUCCACUGUUUUGGAUCAAACUAAUGCUGAAAUAAUAGGACACUUGUCCAGAACAUAUUUCCUUUGUAUUAAACAAACAGACAAACAAAUGAAUGAACAAAAGCUCUGAAAAUAGGACAUGGUCUUGACAAGAAGGGGAUCUGUGGGAGGGGCAAGCAUAAGAAGGGAUAAUAGGAAUUAUGUUAAAAAAAUUUCAGGAAGCUAACUUGCACCUGAAAGAGCUUUACCAUAAUGACUAAACAGUCCCAAAAGUAUGAAACUAAAUAAAAUACAGCAAAACACAGAAAAAGAAUAAUCAAGAAAACAGAAAUGCUUUCUUUCUAAACAUUAUUCAGAUUCUUUUUUUUUCAACAUACAAGGAAAUGGGCAGAUGCCUGCAUUCAGAAUAAAGCUUGAUGGGUAACCAUGGACUACUGGUCUACCUUGAUAGAAUUAGCUGUGUUUCUUGAGCAAAUCACCGUAAAAGUAAAAAACUUAAAAACAGUGCCAUAUAUCUCCUGAUAUUGGAUUGACAGAGUGUCACUUCUGCUACUGUGUACAGCAGGUCUAUUAGGCAAAGUGAGGCACUGCUAAAAAUCUACGAUUCUUUCUGCUUCAUCUUUUGCCCCAGACUCCUUCAGAGAUAAAAAUCCCAGGAAAGAAAGUCAAGAAAACCACUCUUGUAAUAUAUAAUGUUGCCAAGCCUCCACUUACUAUUUUUAUUGAUCAUCAAUGGCUAAUGUAAAACAUCACCAAACUGAAAACUGGGUAGAAGAGACUGCACGUGGAAAUCUGGAAAAGUAUUCGCAGCUGAGUUUGUUACAGGAACAGUAGCACAUGGCUACACUGCCAGAAUUUUCUACAAUGUUAUUGUCCUUAAACACAUUAAAAGAAUUUCUGUGAAGAAAAUAUUUCCCGAGAACAGAAUAGUGAGUAUAUAAGUGUCUCAUAGGAGAGAAAAUGACAAUUUUCAAGUAGACGUGAUCAAAUGUUCUUUUUUUGAGAAAUAGCCUCAAUUCCACAGGGAAAUUUUUUUAAUGACUAGCCUGCCUUGUUGUUAAGAAAAAAAAGUCUGUUUUAUCCAUUUCAAUUAUACUUUGAAGAACUUUAAGUGGAGGUGUUUCUGGAUCAAAUGCUGCCUUGUUGAUAUCAUCCAUCCAGUCUCAUAGUGGUUGGGUAGGAUGGUCACUAUUAGUAUUUAUCCAAGAUGAAGAGACUGAAGUUCCUUAGCAAUAAUGCUUGAUCACAGUGCUAGAGAGAUGAGAGGAGAAAUAGCUACUCUAAAUCAGACCACACAUGAUUCACCUAUGAGUUACAGAAUCCCCAUAUAGAUAGCUAUAUAAUGCAAAGUUAAUUAUAGCCAUGAGAUAUACUGCAGAAAAAAAUAUGACAUGCCACCUAAAUUGUCUUUUCUGGGUUUAAGUUUUAGGAUGUAUCUUCUAGGUUAGUGUGGAUGUAUCAGCAAGACUCAAUUCAGUGAACAUCCCCCAAAUAGUCUUUUGAUUGAAUGAUCAGAUGCAAAUAAGGGAUUUUAAGGGAUGAGUUUCCAAUGAAACACUUUUUAGGGACUGGGAAGGAGGUGAAAAAAAGUUUUUCCAAUGUUUUAUGAACUGAAAAAAAUACAUAAAUAAUGAGAUAUUUUUGUUCAUUAAAAAAUUAUAGUAGUUAUGUAUGAAAUCCACACAAAAAUAACUGCCUUUAUAGUCAAAGAAGGGUACUUUUUUAGCCUAUGACUCCCCUCCUGGAGAAGAGUU
rnacentral:lncRNA from 1 species